AACGAACGCUGGCGGCAGGCCUAACACAUGCAAGUCGAGCGAGGACUUCGGUCCUAGCGGCGGACGGGUGAGUAACGCGUGGGAACGUGCCCUUUGCUUCGGAAUAGCCCUGGGAAACUGGGAGUAAUACCGGAUGAGCCCUUAGGGGGAAAGAUUUAUCGGCGAAGGAUCGGCCCGCGUUGGAUUAGGUAGUUGGUGGGGUAAUGGCCUACCAAGCCGACGAUCCAUAGCUGGUUUGAGAGGAUGAUCAGCCACACUGGGACUGAGACACGGACCAGACUCCUACGGGAGGCAGCAGUGGAGAAUAUUAGACAAUGGGGGAAACCCUGAUCUAGCCAUGCCGCGUGAGCGAUGAAGGCCUUAGGGUUGUAAAGCUCUUUGAGCUGGGAAGAUAAUGACGGUACCAGCAGAAGAAGCCCCGGCUAACUCCGUG
rnacentral:rRNA from 1 species